rnacentral:SRP_RNA from 2 species
GCCAGGCAUGGUGGUGCAUGCCUGUAAUCCCAGCUACUCAGGAGGCUGAGGCUGGAGAAUCGCUUGAGCCUGGGAGGCAGAGGCUGCCGUGAGCGGAGAUCGCGCCCCUGCACUCCAGCCUGGGCAACAGAGCGAGACUCCGUCUCAA